CUCACUUUUCAAUGGUUAAAACUGCUGUCAAUUCUUAGAAGUGGCCAGCUGUUGGCUAGGAGACAAACUCCCAUCAGCCUCCAGCGGUUUUAACUUCCUUAGGUGUUUCUCUUUGUUUUCUUAAAUGCCAAUCUAUCACAUCUGCAAAUAGAUACAUAACUGCCAGUGUGCCCUAGUUGGUUAGGCACUGCUUAUAUGCCAGUGUUACAGUGUUUGGAUCCCCAAACUUUCCUACUGGUUGCUUAGAAUGUAGAUAGAAAUGAUAUAUGUCUCACUAAAUUAACUCUGGGGACACACAAUUUUCUGUGCAGAUGUCAGAUUAAAGUAGGGAAGACCUAAAUGAAGCAAAUUUGUAGUUAAUCAUCCUGGAGGCCUAAUGUCAUUUUCUGCCUUCAUAUGACAUAGUAAAAUGCAUCAAAAAUCAGAUAUUGAAAAGAGAUGUUCCACUCGAAUGGAAUGCUGUUGAAACUAGAGUCCUACAUUACAGGUGAUCUAGUGAACCUUCAGAAUGGUGAAGUCCUUCUUCCCACCUGGGAGUCUGCCUGGCCAGAAACUGACAUCUCAACUUCAGUGAAGCUAUGGAAAAUUUUGUAG
rnacentral:lncRNA from 1 species